CCCUUAGAUGUUCUGGGCCGCACGCGUGCUACACUGAACGGUUCAAUGGGUAAGGUAGUGCGAAAGCAUGACCUAAUCUCGAAAUCCGUUCGUGCUGGGGAUAGAAGCUUGCAAUUAUCCUUCUUGAACGAGGAAUACCUUGUAAGCGUGAGUCAUCAUCUCACGCUGAAUACGUCCCUGCCCUUUGUACACACCGCCCGUCGCUCCUACCGAUUGAGUGUUCCGGUGAGGCUUUGGGAGAAUGGCCUCAACAUGAGUUUAUCGUGUUUUGCCAUUUGAACUUAGUCAAACCUUAUCACUUAGAGGAAGGAGAAGUCGUAACA
rnacentral:rRNA from 1 species